GGGAGCCAGCGAGGCAGUCGCGAACUGGACCUUCACAAGUUAAAGUGGGGGUUUAGUUUGAGGAAAGUCCGGACUCCCAAAAGCCCAGGCCGCUGGGUAACGCCCAGUACGCGUGAGCGUGAGGAUAGUGCCACAGAAACAUACCGCCUCCUUCUAAAGGAGGUAAGGGUGCAAAGGUGCGGUAAGAGCGCACCAGCAGUACCGUGAGGUACUGGCUCGGUAAACCCCGGCCGGGAGCAAGGUCGAAGGGACUACGGUUGGGCUUUUACCAGUCCCGCUGAGGGUGUACCGCUAGAGGUGAUUAGUAAUAAUCACCCCAGAUGGAUGACUGCCCCUUUGACUCCCUAAAGGAGUUGAAGGAACAGAAUCCGGCUUACGUCUGACUCCCCCCC
rnacentral:RNase_P_RNA from 2 species